rfam:Ciona savignyi cont_9954, whole genome shotgun sequence.
GGUAGCAUGGCCGAGCGGUCUUAGGCGCUGGUUUAAGGCACCAGUCAUUUCGAUGGCGUGGGUUCGAAUCCCACUGCUGCCA